rnacentral:rRNA from 1 species
CUUGACAUCCAGCGAACUUGGCAGAGAUGCCUUGGUGCCUUCGGGAACGCUGAGACAGGUGCUGCAUGGCUGUCGUCAGCUCGUGUUGUGAAAUGUUGGGUUAAGUCCGCAACGAGCGCAACCCUUAUCCUUUGUUGCCAGCGAUUCGGUCGGGAACUCAAAGGAGACUGCCGGUGAUAAACCGGAGGAAGGUGGGGAUGACGUCAAGUCAUCGUGGCCCUUACGAGUAGGGCUACACACGUGCUACAAUGGCGCAUACAAAGAGAAGCGACCUCGCGAGAGCAAGCGGACCUCAUAAAGUGCGUCGUAGUCCGGAUCGGAGUCUGCAACUCGACUCCGUGAAGUCGGAAUCGCUAGUAAUCGUGGAUCAGAAUGCCACGGUGAAUACGUUCCCGGGCCUUGUACACACCGCCCGUCACACCAUGGGAGUGGGUUGCAAAAGAAGUAGGUAGCUUAACCUCCGGGAGGGCGCUUACCACUUUGUGAUUCAUGACUGGGGUGAAGUCGUAACAAGGUAGGCGUAGCGAG